AUCCAGAUAAUGAGUCCCAAAUGGGACGAAAUGUGCAUCCUGGAU
rnacentral:hammerhead_ribozyme from 1 species